rnacentral:lncRNA from 1 species
UUGCGAGCAGAAUGCAUUUUAGCGUGGGCAUCAAUCUCAGAAUCAGAAUCUGAAGAGGAAGAGGAAGAAGAAGAAGAAGAAGAGUGUUUGUCAUUUCCACGUUGACGCUUCUCAAUUUCUGGUGAUUCCCCCAUUGUUUGAUCGAGGUAUGGAUAAUGGAAUAAUCAGAUCCAAAUAUUGUUUUGAUCGUCUCUUUCUUUCUCUUUGUUUUGGUUUCUGUUAUGAAAUAUUCGAAAUGAUCGCCUAUUUUACUCCCAUGAAAUUCGCUAAUUUUUACCCAUUCAUUUUUUUUUCUGAUUUGAAUUGCAAAUUGCAAAACAAAAAUGGAAAUGGCCAGCCACACAAAAACUAUCUUGGGGGUGUUACAUGCUUGGAUAUAUUAAAUUUUUUUUUUUUGAAUUUUAAUAAUAAAAGAAAAUUUUGCUGAUAAGAAAAAAAAGUCCUCUCAUAAUACAACAAAUUUGGAGUUUUCAUAAUUGAAAGAUGAAUGAUAUUUCCUUAUUUUUCAUUUGAAAAGUUUAAAUUUUAAAUUUGGGUGAUAUAAUUUAAUUUUGUUAAUUUUCAUAUUUUAGAACUUAAAGUUAAUAAUUUUUUUUAAAAAAACCGAAAAUAUUAAAUUAUGUUAAAGGUGGUUCGAUUUUAUAAGAAAUCAAUUCACUUUAUACAAUCUAAAUACUGCAACCCAAAAUAUACGUUCACGAGUUUUUGACCGGCUAAAACGCCAAACGGUAUUUUUAUAGAGUGUGGUAACACAACAUUUGAACUAGCUUUUAGAUGUUAAGCUAACAAUUUUAUAAAAAGUUAACUUAUAUAACGUUUAACUUUUAGCGUUGCAUGAAAAACUAUUUUAAUAAUCAAUCGCUAAAUACUACUAAAAUAACUAAUAACUAUCAAAAUAAUUAAUUUUAUUGAAUAGACCUAGAAAUCAAAUCCAAAACCUUGGAGCUUAAGUAUUAAUUUUAACAGUUUAAUAUACAUAAAUAUUCUCAAUUAUACGAAUUUAUUAUAAUUGCAGUCUUAAUUUAAAUUUCUUUACAAUCACACUUUAAAAUGAAAUUUAAUUAGUUUUUAAACUUUAAAAUAAAAUUUAAGUUAGGGUUACUAUUAAAAAAAAAUAAAUGUUUGAGGGAAUCAUAGUUGAGUUUGGUUAAAAAAUUAAAACGGCACCGCUUUCAUUAAAACAAAAUCCCUAAAGUUUCUCUUAUCUCCUCUCACUCUCUCGCUUACAAUUUGUUUUGGUUUUCUGAUUUUAAAAAGGAAAAAUUACUAUUUCAUUUCUGAGGUUUGUCCAAAUUAAUAACUUCGGACAUUUUCGUUAAACAUUUUUUACGUUUGCUUUUGUCUAAGGAUACAGUCUUUUCGUUUAAAAAAAUGUUGAAUUUCCGUUAAUUUUAUAUGAAAAAGACUAAAAACAAACAUACCGUGGGACCCACGAAUAACAAAAACUCAUAUUUAAAAAACCCCAAAUUCUCUUCCCGUCGCAGAAGCAACGAUCUCCCUCUCAUCCCCUCCGGUUAAUUUUCCGACCUCUCAACGGUCGGCGAAAGAUGGCUACUAAACCUUCAGGCGCUGGUAAUCACGUCAUCGGCCUUUCUUUCACGGGUCGAAGCCUUUACAACGCCAAUCGAGGCUCUCCUUCUUACAGCGCCGCCAUGCCUUCCCGAUCUACUUCCGUCGAGUUCCAGUGACGUGAGUGACAGUGGAAAGGAUGCUGAGACCUGAGAGGGACCCCGCCGACACUGCCUUAUAUGGCCCUUCGGAGACGUACGCGGCCCCAACAGCGAAUGAUAUUCGAGAUACCAUAUAUGAUCUGCGUCACCGUCGGACUCUGGUUUUGCGACAAUCGGAGGCGGACAAGGUAGUGGUCCGGUAUUUAUUAUUUUGAAAAUUACAAACUACUUAUCAAUUAAUUCUAGUGAUUUCUUUUUCAUUUGUUCUUUUCAGCAAUGGCUUUUGGGCAAUUUAUGUAAUAGCCAGUAGUUUCAUGGUGGUUUUUCUGUUGUGUUUUCAGUUUCUAUUUGGUGGGUCUGGAAAUUGCAAUAGCGCAAAUGCAUUGAAGUUGAACCCCAAAGAUAACUGUAACUAGACAUUCUCCUCUUUUUUCAGCUAUUAUUAAUUGGUUUCUUUGUUUUUCUGUGCUUUUUUUCCUUUUUUUUUUCUUUUUCUUUUUUUACAUACAAGAAAAUGUAUUGAUUCAAGAAUCCAAAAUUUGCAGUAGAAGGAAGAUGCAGAUUGUUGUGAUGAAUUAUGGUGGUUUUGUUAGAAGCACUGACGGAUUGCAAUCUCUAGUUCUAUACUCUGUUGAUUCAUUAGUUAUGUGGCUGCAAUGUUGCCUUUGAAAUUGAUAAGCUUUCCUUAUUUAGCAUUGGUUUUGUACUUUACUUCUGAACCAGCAAGGAAGAAGCGAAAAAGAAUAUGUAUGCACGUUGUUAUUUGUGGGUUCACAAUACGGGUUUUUUUGGUCUUUUUCAUGUAAAAUUAACGGGAAAUCAGCUCUCUUUAGACAGAAUGACACGGAAGCAAAACCAGGGAUGUUUAAAUAACUUGAUCAAAAUAUAUGGAUGAAGUUAUUAUUU